rnacentral:rRNA from 1 species
GGGGGAGNAACGNAACGACAAGUGUGANAUUUCAAAAGGAAUUGANGGGGGCCNGCACGAGCCGGCGGAGUACUGUGGUUUANUUGGGAAGGCAAACGNGGAAGAACCUUGCCANGACUUGACAUGUCGCGAAUUUUUCNNGAAAGAGGACAGUGCCUUCGGGAGCGNGAACACAGGUGGNGGGUGGCUGUUGUCAGCUCGAGUCGUGAGAUGUUGGGUUAAGUCCCGCNACGAGNGCAACCCUCGUUNUUAGUUGCCAGCAUUAAGUUNGGCACUGUAGAGAGACUGCCGGUGACAAACCGGAGGAAGGUGAGGANGACGUCAAGUCAGCAUGCCCCUUACGUUNUGGGGUACACACGUANUACAAUGCUACGGACAAAGAGCAGCAAGGUAGUAAUAGCAAGCAAAUCUCAUAAACCGUAGCUCAGUUCAGAUCGAAGGNUGCAACUCGCCUUCGUGAAGGAGGAAUCGNUAGUAAUUGCAGGUCAGCAUACUGCAGUGAAUUCGUUCCCGGGCNUUGUACACACCGCCCGUCACACCAUGGAAGUUGGUCACGCCCGAAGUCAUUACCCCAACUUUUGGAGGGGUGCCUAAGUAGAU